UCGACCGCCUGGGGAGUACGGCCGCAAGGUUAAAACUCAAAUGAAUUGACGGGGGCCCGCACAAGCGGUGGAGCAUGUGGUUUAAUUCGAUGCAACGCGAAGAACCUUACCUGGUCUUGACAUCCACGGAAGUUUUCAGAGAUGAGAAUGUGCCUUCGGGAACCGUGAGACAGGUGCUGCAUGGCUGUCGUCAGCUCGUGUUGUGAAAUGUUGGGUUAAGUCCCGCAACGAGCGCAACCCUUAUCCUUUGUUGCCAGCGGUCCGGCCGGGAACUCAAAGGAGACUGCCAGUGAUAAACUGGAGGAAGGUGGGGAUGACGUCAAGUCAUCAUGGCCCUUACGACCAGGGCUACACACGUGCUACAAUGGCGCAUACAAAGAGAAGCGACCUCGCGAGAGCAAGCGGACCUCAUAAAGUGCGUCGUAGUCCGGAUUGGAGUCUGCAACUCGACUCCAUGAAGUCGGAAUCGCUAGUAAUCGUGGAUCAGAAUGCCACGGUGAAUACGUUCCCGGGCCUUGUACACACCGCCCGUCACACCAUGGGAGUGGGUUGCAAAAGAAGUAGGUAGCUUAACCUUCGGGAGGGCGCUUACCACUUUGUGAUUCAUGACUGGGGUGAAGUCGUAACAAGGUAACCGUAGGGGAACCUGCGGUUGGAUCACCUCCUU
rnacentral:rRNA from 1 species